GGUCCCGCCUGCCCUGUGACUAUAUGUUUAACGGCCGCGGUAUCUUGACCGUGCGAAGGUAGCGUAAUCACUUGUCUUUUAAAUGGAGACCCGUAUGAAUGGCAUGACGAGGGCUUAACUGUCUCCUUUCUCAAGUCAAUGAAAUUGAUCUCCCCGUGCAGAAGCGGGGAUUACACCAUAAGACGAGAAGACCCUAUGGAGCUUUAGACACAAGGCAGAUCAUGUUAAACACCCCAAAACAAAGGACCGAACCCCGUGAACCCCGCCCUAAUGUCUUUGGUUGGGGCGACCACGAGGAAAAAGAACCCCCGUGCGGACUGGGGACAUACCCCCCUACCACCAAGAGCUCCCGCUCUAAUGACCAGAAUUUCUGACCAAACAGAUCCGGCACUGCCGAUCAACGGACCGAGUUACCCUAGGGAUAACAGCGCAAUCCCCUUUUAGAGCCCAUAUCGACAAGGGGGUUUACGACCUCGAUGUUGGAUCAGGACAUCCUAAUGGUGCAGCCGCUAUUAAGGGUUCGUUUGUUCAACGAUUAAAGUCCUACGUGAUCUGAGU
rnacentral:rRNA from 1 species